rnacentral:rRNA from 1 species
AUGAACGCUGGCGGCGUGCCUAAUACAUGCAAGUCGAACGAGUUCUGAUUAUUGAAAGGUGCUUGCAUCUUGAUUUAAUUUUGAACGAGUGGCGGACGGGUGAGUAACACGUGGGUAACCUGCCCUUAAGUGGGGGAUAACAUUUGGAAACAGAUGCUAAUACCGCAUAAAUCCAAGAACCGCAUGGUUCUUGGCUGAAAGAUGGCGUAAGCUAUCGCUUUUGGAUGGACCCGCGGCGUAUUAGCUAGUUGGUGAGGUAACGGCUCACCAAGGCAAUGAUACGUAGCCGAACUGAGAGGUUGAUCGGCCACAUUGGGACUGAGACACGGCCCAAACUCCUACGGGAGGCAGCAGUAGGGAAUCUUCCACAAUGGACGCAAGUCUGAUGGAGCAACGCCGCGUGAGUGAAGAAGGCUUUCGGGUCGUAAAACUCUGUUGUUGGAGAAGAAUGGUCGGCAGAGUAACUGUUGUCGGCGUGACGGUAUCCAACCAGAAAGCCACGGCUAACUACGUGCCAGCAGCCGCGGUAAUACGUGGGUGGCAAGCGUUAUCCGGAUUUAUUGGGCGUAAAGCGAGCGCAGGCGGUUUUUUAAGUCUGAUGUGAAAGCCCUCGGCUUAACCGAGGAAGUGCAUCGGAAACUGGGAAACUUGAGUGCAGAAGAGGACAGUGGAACUCCAUGUGUAGCGGUGAAAUGCGUAGAUAUAUGGAAGAACACCAGUGGCGAAGGCGGCUGUCUGGUCUGUAACUGACGCUGAGGCUCGAAAGCAUGGGUAGCGAACAGGAUUAGAUACCCUGGUAGUCCAUGCCGUAAACGAUGAAUGCUAGGUGUUGGAGGGUUUCCGCCCUUCAGUGCCGCAGCUAACGCAUUAAGCAUUCCGCCUGGGGAGUACGACCGCAAGGUUGAAACUCAAAGGAAUUGACGGGGGCCCGCACAAGCGGUGGAGCAUGUGGUUUAAUUCGAAGCAACGCGAAGAACCUUACCAGGUCUUGACAUCUUUUGAUCACCUGAGAGAUCAGGUUUCCCCUUCGGGGGCAAAAUGACAGGUGGUGCAUGGUUGUCGUCAGCUCGUGUCGUGAGAUGUUGGGUUAAGUCCCGCAACGAGCGCAACCCUUAUGACUAGUUGCCAGCAUUUAGUUGGGCACUCUAGUAAGACUGCCGGUGACAAACCGGAGGAAGGUGGGGAUGACGUCAAAUCAUCAUGCCCCUUAUGACCUGGGCUACACACGUGCUACAAUGGAUGGUACAACGAGUUGCGAGACCGCGAGGUCAAGCUAAUCUCUUAAAGCCAUUCUCAGUUCGGACUGUAGGCUGCAACUCGCCUACACGAAGUCGGAAUCGCUAGUAAUCGCGGAUCAGCACGCCGCGGUGAAUACGUUCCCGGGCCUUGUACACACCGCCCGUCACACCAUGAGAGUUUGUAACACCCGAAGCCGGUGGCGUAACCCUUUUAGGGAGCGAGCCGUCUAAGGUGGGACAAAUGAUUAGGGUG